UCCAGGCCGUCGCAGCCACUGCCCUGAUCGGCCAGGGGCCGCGAUACUGGUUGCUCGCGGUGUGAGCAGAAUUCAAUGUGUAUCACUGCCGCGAAGAUGGAGGGGCUUUGUCCGUGUACCGUGACCGCAGCACUGGGGAAGCGAUCCGCUACCAGAAUGAAAUGGGUUUCGCUGUGUUGCCCAAGGGGUUCUCGAACUCCUGGCAUCAAGCUAUCCUCCUGCCUCGGCAUCUCAGUGUUGGGAUUACAGAUGUGAGCCACAGUGUCCGCCCCAUUUAGACUCCUAUUAUGGCUGCAGCUUCCAUUGCCAAUAUUGUAAAAAGUUCUCUAGGUCCAGUUGGCUUGGAUAAAAUGCUUGUGGAUGAUAUUGGUGAUGUAACCAUUACUAACGAUGGUGCAACCAUCCUGAAGUUACUGGAAGUUGAACAUCCUGCAGCUAAAGUUCUUUGUGAGCUGGCUGAUCUGCAAGACAAAGAAGUUGGAGAUGGAACUACGUCAGUGGUUAUUACUGCUGCAGAACUCCUAAAAAAUGCAGAUGAAUUAGUCAGACAGAAAAUUCAUCCCACAUCAGUUAUUAGUGGCUAUCGACUUGCUUGCAAGGAAGCAGUGUGUUAUAUCAAUGAAAACCUAAUUGUUAACAGAGACGAACUGGGAAGAGAUUGCCUGAUUAAUGCUGCUAAGACAUCCAUGUCUUCCAAAAUCAUUGGAAUAAAUGGUGAUUUCUUUGCUAACAUGAUAGUGGAUGCUGUACUUGCUAUUAAAUACACAGACACAAGAGGCCAGCCACGCUAUCCAGUCAAUUCUGUUAAUAUUUUGAAAACCCAUGGGAGAAGUCAAACAGAGAGUAUGCUCAUCAGUGGCUAUGUACUCAACUGUGUGGUGGGAUCCCAGGGCAUGCCCAAGAGAAUCAUAAAUGCAAAAAUUGCUUGCCUUGACUUUAGCCUGCAAAAACCAAAAACGAAGCUUGGUGUACAGGUAGUCAUUACAGACCCUGAAAAACUGGACCAAAUUAGACAGAGAGAAUCAGGUAUCACCAAGGAGAGAAUUCAGAAGAUCCUAGCGACUGGUGCCAAUGUUAUUCUAACCACUGGUGGAAUUGAUGAUAUGUGUCUGAAGUAUUUUGUGGAGGCUGGUGCUAUGGCAGUUAGAAGAGUUUUAAAAAGGGAGCUUAAACGCCUUGUGAAAGCUUCUGGAGCAACUAUUCUGUCAACUCUGGCCAAUUUGGAAGGUGAAGAAACUUUUGAAGCUGCAAUGUUGGGACAGGCAGAAGAAGUGGUACAGGAGAGAAUUUGUGAGAUUGAGCUGAUCUUAAUCAAAAACACCAAGGCUCAUACAUCUGCAUCGAUUAUCUUACGUGGGGCAAAUGAUUUCAUGUAUGAUGAGAUGGAGCGCUCUUUACAUGAUACACUUUGUGUAGUGAAGAGAGUUUUGGAGUCAAAAUCCAUGGUUCCCGGUGGAGGUGGUGCUGUAGAAGCAACCCUUUCCAUAUACCUUGAAAACUAUGCAACCAGCAUGGGGUCUCGGGAACAGCUUGCUAUUGCAGAGUUUGCAAGAUCACUUCUUGUUAUUCCCAAUACACUAGCAGUUAAUGCUGCCCAGGACUCCACAGAUCUGGUUGCAAAAUUAAGAGCUUUUCAUAAUGAGGCUCAGGUUAACCCAGAACGUAAAAAUCUAAAUGGAUUGGUCUUGAUUGAGCAAUGGUAAACCUCGAGACAACAAACAAGCAGGGGUGUUUGAACCACCCAUAGUUACAGUUAAGCGUUUGAAAUUUGCAACAGAAGCUGCAAUUACCAUUCUUCAAAUUGAUGAUCUUGUUAAAUUAUAUCCAGAAAGUAAAGAUGAUAAACAUGGAAGUUAUGAAGAUGCUGUUCACUCUGGAGCCCUUAAUGAUUGAUCUGAUGUCUCUUUUAUUUAUAACAAUGUUAAAUGCAAUUGUCUUGUACCUUGAGUUAAGUAUUACACAUUAAAGUACAACAAACUGUAAAAAAAA